rnacentral:rRNA from 1 species
UUAAAUUGAAGAGUUUGAUCAUGGCUCAGAUUGAACGCUGGCGGCAGGCUUAACACAUGCAAGUCGAACGGUAGCAGGAAGAGGCUUGCUUCUUUGCUGACGAGUGGCGGACGGGUGAGUAAUGCUUGGGAAUCUGGCUUAUGGAGGGGGAUAACUACGGGAAACUGUAGCUAAUACCGCGUAGUAUCGGGAGAUGAAAGACUGGGACCGCAAGGCCAGUUGCCAUAAGAUGAGCCCAAGUGGGAUUAGGUAGUUGGUGGGGUAAAGGCCUACCAAGCCGACGAUCUCUAGCUGGUCUGAGAGGAUGACCAGCCACACUGGAACUGAGACACGGUCCAGACUCCUAC